rnacentral:lncRNA from 1 species
GGAUAGCUUUCAGGAUGUGGCUAAUCAACAGAAAGACCAAGUCAUGAUCAGAAGCUUAGAACUUUCAGCCCCACUCCCCAUCCUACAGGGAAAGGAGAGGAACUGUAGUCUCAGUUAAUGUCAAUCACGCCUACGUGACUUAGUCUCCACAUCCCUGAAGUAUGGAGUUUAGAGAGCUUCUGGGUUGGUGAACACAUCCAUGUGCCAAGAGGAUGGCCCACCCCAACUUCAUGGGGACAGACGCUCCUGUGUUCAAAACCCCUCUAAACUUUGCCCCGUGCACCUCUUCAUCUGGCGCAUCAUCUGUAUCCUCUAUCAUAUCCUUCACUACACAACUGCUAAAGGUAAGUGUUUCCCUGAGUUCUGUGAGCCACUCUAGCAAAUAACAUAACAUGAGGAAGGGGUAAUGGGACCCUCUGAUUUGUAGCAAACCUGGACAGAAGUUGUGGGUUGCCUGAGGACCCACCACUUCUGACUGGCCUCUGAAGUCAGGGGCAGUUUUGAGGGACUGAGCCCUUAAUGGCGUCUGCACUAACUUCAGGUAGAUAGUGUCAGAAUUGAAGGGAAUUGAUUAUAGGACACCUACUUGUUGUCCACAUAAAAUUGGAGAACUUGUCAGUAUGGGGGACAGAAAUCCAUAGAUUUUGGUGACCGGAAGUGAAAUACUGAGAGGAGUAGUAGAGAAGAUGAGAAAAGUUUUUUUUCUUUAGCUGUGAGACUACAGAAGGAAAAACAGUGGCUCUCCUAUACAGUAAGUUUUCAUUCCUCUGGGAUAAAUGCCAAGGAGUGCAAUUGUUGGGCCAUAUGGUAGUUGCAUGUACUGUUUUUUGAGGUUUUGUUUUUGUUUUUGUUUUGAGACCAAGUCUCACUCUGUAGCCCAGGCUGGAGCACAGUGGCACAAUUACGGCUCACUGCAACCUCGACCUCCCAGGCUCAGGCAAUCCUCCUGCCUCAAUCUUCUGAGUAGCUGGGACCACAGGUGCAUACCACCCACACCUGUAUAAUUUUUAAAAAUUAUCUGUAGAGGUGCAAUCUCCCUAUGUUGCCCAGGCUGGUCUCAAACUCCUGGGCUCAAGUGAUCCUCCGGCCUCAGCCUCCCAAAGUGCUGGGAUUACAGAAGGGAGUCACUGUGCCCAGCCUAUUUCUUUAUUAAGAAACUACCAAACAGUGUUCCAAAGUAGCUACACCAUUUUACAUUCCCACCAGCAAUGUAUGAGUGAGUGAUCCAGAUUCAGUUUCUCUCCAUCCGUUCUGCAUUUAGUGUUAUCAGUAUUAAUAUUUUUUAUUUUAGCCGUUCUGAUAGUGUGUACUAGGAUUAAUUUGCAUUUUUCUCAUGGUUAAUGAUACUGAACAAAUUUCGAUGUGUUUUUUUGUCAUAUGGACGUUCUCUUCAGCAGAAACUGUUUAUGUCUUUUGCCCAUUUUCUUAUUGGGUUGUUAGGUUAAAUGUUUGUCUUGUUUUUUAACGACUAAGACUUGAGAGUUCUUUCUACAUGUUCUAGAUACUAGUGUUCUGUUGGACAUAUGGUUUGCAAAUUUUUUCUCCCAGUCUUUAGCCUGUAUAUUCAUCCUCUUAACUGUAAAAAGUUUUAGAUUGUUCGUAAAAGUAAAAUCCAGCCCCCAGAUCCCAGUCUCAGCAACAUUUUGAGUUCUGUUUGAGACGGUGUCCGGGUGGCUUUUAUAGUGUGAGGGCUAAGACAGCUUGUCUUGCAGGACAGUAGGUACUCCCGCCACCUCCCCUUCCUGUAUUAUUUUGACACAAAUCCUAAACCUCAGAUUUUUUAUCCACAAUCACUAUGUAUCCUUAAAAGAUACUUGCAAAGUACCCACAAUAUCGAUACCACAUAAAAAAAAUAAUUCCCUAAUGUCAAAUAUUCAGUGUUCAAAUUUUCAAUUAUCUUAUAAAUAUCAUGAAUUUCUUACAGCAACUUGAGCUGCUGCUUUAUCAUGAAUUUUUGUUUGUUUGUUUGUUUGAGACAGAGUCUAGCUCUGUCGCCAGGCUGGAGUGCAGUGGCGCCAUCUCGGUUCACUGCAACCUCCACCUCCCAGGUUCAAGCGAUUUUCCUGCCUCAGCCUCCCAAGUAGCUCCUGCCUCAGCCUCCCAAGUAGCUGGGACUACAGGCACAUGCCGCCAUGCCCAGCUAAUUUUUGUAUUUUUGGUAAAGGGGGUUUCACCACGUUGGCCAGGAUGGUAUCGAUCUCCUGACCUCGUGAUCCACCCACCUCAGCCUCCCAAAGUACUGGGAUUACAGGCGUGAGCCACCACGCCCAGCUAUCAUGAAUUUUUUUAACCAUUAGUUUGAAUAGGAUCCAAAUAAGGUCACAUAUUACAAAUGGUUGCUAAGUCUCUUAAGUCUCAUUUAAUCUCCGGCUGUCUCUCCAUCACUUCCUUUUCCUUGCUACCAAUCUGUUAAAGACACUAGGUCAUUUGUCACUAUACUCUGGAUUUCUAUUCAUUUCCCAAUAAUUUAGUUUAAAAAAAAUGGCCGUAGACUGUUAUAUAAUAAGAUAAUCUUUCUGCCUAAAAAGAAAGGUAAAAAUUAUAAAGAAUUACAAAUAAAUUUUAAAAGGUAGCCUUCCCACACUGCUCAGUAAGAAAUGCAAAGCAAAGAAGAUACACAGUUUAACUCAGCAUAGAAAAAAGGCUAGAAAUAAAUACCUGAAACUUUGAAGGCAGGAAUGAGAUUGGCAGUUGGAAAGUGAGUUUCAAUUUUUAUUUCAUAUAUUUUUCUUUUGCUUAAGAUUUACAUAACACUCAGGUUAUGUAACUGAUAUAAGCAAAUGGAUUUAAACAUACACCUAAUAGCCAAGCAUGGUGGCUCAUGCCUGUAAUCCCAGCACUUUGGGGGGCCAAGGCAGGGGGAUUGCUUGAGCUCAGGAUUUUGAGACAAGCCUGGGCAACAUGGCCAGGCUGGUCUCAAACUAAAAUAUUAAAAAAAAAAAAAGCUGGACAUGGUGGUGCACACCUGUGGUCCCAACUACUAGGGAAGCUGAGGAGGGAGAAUCACUUGAGCCCAGAAGGUCAAAGGCUGCAGUUAGCCGUGAUGGCAUCACGACACUCCACACAGAGAGAGAGAGAGUGAGACUCUAUCUCAAAACGACAACAACAAAAAUAAGUAAGUAAAUAAACAUGCACCUAAAAUACUAGUCCCACUUCGUGUGACUCCAGCAGCCUAAGAAACAACUUACUCUGCAGCUUGUCAAAGGUCUGGGCUUGGGUUGGUCACCUGUGGCUAACCAUGGCUGGUUAGAAAGUUGAACCACACCCCAACUCUGUAAACUUCUGCGGAGCUUUGCUUACCAUGAAAGGAGACAACUGGUACCCUUCUGAUUACUCAGAUAGAAGGGUGCUUAAGGAUUGCUCUACAGUAAAUGCUUCAUAGAGAACUAGAUUUUUACAAAGAUUUCUGAUUAGCUCAUGGACGAAUGCUUUUCACAUAGCUAACCCUGCAAGGAAGCCCACCACAAAGAUCUGUUUGUGGCUGGAGGUCCACCUCACCCCAGCCCUCUCUCCUUUCAACCCACUAGAACUAAGCAAGGUGGGACUCAGUGAAUGGAUCAACAAAUGCUAACUGGCUGGCAACUGACAUCUAUUAAACAAUCAGGAAAUGAAAAAUAAAACAACACUUUCAAAUCUUUUAGAAACUAGAAGAUGAAACCGUCUCUCUUCCUGGGCUCAGGUGGCAGAAAUGAAGCAAUGUGGUCACACAGAGAAGACCAAAACUGACCCCAGCUUUCAUCUAACCACAUGACUGGGACAUAUCUGACAGUCCCACCCAUGUGGCCUUGUGACCCUGUCACCUAAUAUGACCAUUUUGUCUUCCUACUUUAAAAAGCAGAGAGGCCACUUCCUCCUGAAAAAUAAGCUGCAUAUAGAAUUACCAUAUGAUCCACCAAUUCCACUUCUGGGUAUAUCCCUAAAAGAAUUGAAAGCAGGGUCUCAAACAGCACUUGUACACCCAUGUUUUCAUAGCAGCACUAUUCACAAUAGCCAAAAGAAUGUAGCAACCCAAAUGUCUAUCAGCAGACGAAUGGAUAAGCAAAAUGUGAUAUACACGUACAAAGGAAUAUUAUUCAGCCUUAAAAAGGAAUGAAAUUCUAACACAUGCUACAACAUGGUGAACCCUGAAAACAUAUGACAAAUGAAGUAAGCCAGAGAAAAAAAGACAGCAUAUGAUUCUACUUCUAGGAGGUACCUAACAGACAGUGUAUGAUUCCACUUCUAGGAGGUACCUAACAGACAGCAUAUGAUUUCACUUCUAGGUGGUCCCUAGAAUAAGCAAAUUCAUAGAGACAGGGAGUAGAAUAAAGGUUACCAGGAGCAGAGGGGAGGGGAGAAUGGGGCGCUAUUGUUUAAUGAGUAUGGAGUUUCAGUUUGGGAAGUUGAAAAAGUUCUGGAGAUGGAUAGCAGUGGCGGUUGCACAACAACGUGAAUACACUUAAUGCCACACUUAAAAAUGGUUAAAACAGUGAAUUUUAUUUUAUGGAUAUUUUCCCACCAUUAAGAAAAUGCAAAAAGCACACAUAUAAAAAAAAAUUUUUUUUUUUAAAGGGUGUGUUUCCUCCACAAGUGCACCACACUUACUAAGAGGCAGAUGAAGGAAACGGCAAUGACCAGCCACAUUCCUGAACCAUAACAAGUGAUCAUUUUCUAGAAAAUAGCACCGUGAAAGGAAACCGUCUCACAUUAACAACAGGGAAGCCGGAUGGCCAGUGAUAAGGUUAUUACAAACAUACGAUAUGCCUUGAUUAGAUUCAGUCCAUUUGACCAAUCUGGUUGACAAAGGAUUUAAUUGGUUGUUUCCAACUGUUUUGCCAUUAAGGAAGCAUAAUCUUUAAAGUCAGAGAUUCCUCAUUCCAGCCACCACCUGUGGUAUGCCUUAAAGAAAGCACUUUUUUUUUUUUUUGAGACAGAGNNNNNNNNNNCAGCCUGGGCGACAGAGCGAGACUCUCAAAAAAAAAAAAAUAGUAAGCUGAUACCAAGCAGGAAAAUACAUUAUUUAAAGGGAACAUAUGUAGGGAAGGAACAUCCUACAAGACACAUGACCUUAACUAUUCGGAAAGUCCGUGUCAUUCAAAAAAAAAAAAAAAAAGUUUGGGGAAAUUAUUUAGCUUGAAAAGAGUCUAAAGAGAAAUAACAAACAAAUGUAGUAAGUGAAACUUAAUCAGAUCUCAGUUUGUAAAACAGCAACAACUAUAAAAGACAAUCUUAGGACAACAGAGAAAUUCCACAACAAACUGAAUAUUAGAUUAU